rnacentral:lncRNA from 1 species
AGAUUGAUUUAAACACCAAAACCAUUUUUAACAUUGAGAAUGGUAUCAUCAGAAAACAGUUCCCAUUUUCCCAAAUCAAGUACUGGGAAAGUGGAGAGGGGACCCGGUUUAACAUUGCAUUUCAUGGGCGCCGGGAUUAUGAACUAGAGGCAACUUCCCUAGAAGACAAAAGGAAACUGAUGCACCUUCUGGAUAAGAUCCUGUGUAAAUCUGUGGAAUCCCCUUCGGGACAGAUUGACCAGCAGGAUGGAGCUGUACAUGACGGCUUGCUGGAAUUGGAGCAGAAUAGUCUGGAAGCUGCUAAAUGGGUCAAGUGCUUGGUACAGCUCCAUAAAAGACAUCUGACCCUGUAUCCUCUUGGCUUCAACGAAGAGAAUGAGAAAACUAAUCUGGAGGCAAACCAAGUACAAUUGUCGGAUGUGAGAGUCCAUAAAGAAAAUGAACAUGAUGAAUUUUCAGUCCAGACUAAAAAAAACAAUUAUUUAUUCCGAAUUCCUGCUACAGCCCUGAUUAGACAAAUGAAGGAUGUCACUGAGAUGAGGGACAAAUGGGUCACCCUCAUCAGCCAAUACUGCGCACCCUUUCUGACUUAUCCAGACCAUCAGGCUGAAUUUCAAGAUGGAAGUUCAUGUGCAGAGAUUAGCCUAACCUCCAAACGUGAGAUCAGUAAAGAUGGUCCUGACAUACUUCCAGGAGGAAAGGAAAAAGAAUCAUUGUCUUUGCUGGCUACAGGUUCUUCCACAACUUCACUGAGUAUGGUUCCAACCUCCAGUUGUAUGUCAGGAUCCCAAAGGAGAAUUUCAAUGGGACAGGGCACUGCAGGUGUACCCCAACCUUGCAUCCCCUUAGUUCAGGGAGGCCCACUGCUCUCUGCCAGCCUUCCAGCUGUUAACCCCAUUCCAGCCACUGAAAGAACAAAAGCCUUUCACUGGGAUAUUGUUCCUCAUGACAAGAUUCUAAAAUCCAUCUGGUCAACAUGUGACCUCCAGAAGAGAAAAAUUGAUGUGACAAGACUCUACGACCAGUUCCGAGCUCUGAAUACCCCUGUGAUGUUGAACAAUGAUUUCUUA